rnacentral:rRNA from 1 species
GACGAACGCUGGCGGCGUGCUUAACACAUGCAAGUCGAACGGAAAGGCCCUGCUUUGGUGGGGUGCUCGAGUGGCGAACGGGUGAGUAACACGUAAGUAACCUUCCCUUGACUUUUGGAUGACUUCAGGAAACUCUGGCUCAUACCGGUUAUGAGCUCCUUCUUCAGGGUGGGUGGUGGACAGCUUCGGCGGUUGGGGAUGGACUCGCGGCUUAUCAGCUUGUUGGUGGGGUAGUGGCUUACCAAGGCUUUGACGGGUAGCCGGCCUGAGAGGGUGACCGGCCACAUUGGGACUGAGAUACGGCCCAGACUCCUACGGGAGGCAGCAGUGGGGAAUAUUGCACAAUGGGCGGAAGCCUGAUGCAGCAACGCCGCGUGCGGGAUGACGGCCUUCGGGUUGUAAACCGCUUUCGCCUGUGACGAAGCGUGAGUGACGGUAAUGGGUAAAGAAGCACCGGCUAACUACGUG